rnacentral:rRNA from 1 species
GGGAGGCAAAGGAGUAAUCUGGAGCGAACCCCAAAAUAACGUCUCAGCUCGGACUGUGGUCUGCAACCCGACCACACGAAGCUGGAAUCGCUAGUAAUCGUGAAUCAGAAUGUCACGGUGAAUACGUUCCCGGGUCUUGUACACACCGCCCGUCACACCAUGGGAGUCAGCAACGCCCGAAGUCAGUGACCUAACCGAGAGGGAGGAGCUGCCGAAGGCGGGGCCGGUAACUGGGGUGAAGUCGUAACAAGGUAGC